CACGUAGGGCGCAAGCGUUGUCCGGAAUUAUUGGGCGUAAAGAGCGUGUAGGCGGCCUGACAGGUCUGCUGUGAAAACUCGAGGCUCAACCUCGAGAUGUCGGCGGAAACCGUCUGGCUAGAGUCCGGAAGAGGAGAGUGGAAUUCCUGGUGUAGCGGUGAAAUGCGCAGAUAUCAGGAAGAACACCUAUGGCGAAGGCAGCUCUCUGGGACGGUACUGACGCUGAGACGCGAAAGCGUGGGGAGCGAACAGG
rnacentral:rRNA from 1 species